GUUGCUAUUUUCAUGAACUUUUGUUAACAGCCUGAUGAGCUUGGGAAUGAUCAUUGCCACCUGAAAUGAAUGAGCUGUGCAAAUGGAAGAUAUUCUCAGGGCUCAUGACCACACCUGAAGCAGAUUGUCUUUUCUCCCACUCCGCUUCAGUGCAAGAGGAGAGCGUACAUCAACGUGUUAAACCUAAACCCU
ensembl:lincRNA